CUGUGCUGAAACAGGGCAGCGUGGUGGGAUACAGACUUUGGCUGGUGGGGAGUGCUGGAAGUCCCUGUACACCUGUAGCUGUCCUCGUGCAAGAUCUGUUUCAUGGUCCUGGUGUGCUACUUCUUGCCUUGAAAAGAGCUUCUUCAUCUUCUGCAUUCCUCUCCUACAUGUGAAGUCUUCUGCUGCCAAUGAUUUACUGUGUCUCUCCCAUGUCACCCACAUCCCAAGGCACUACAGAAUCAACUUCACCUUGUCAGAAACAGUGCCCAUUGCAAAAGAGCAAAGGAUACAUAGCCGGAUUUGAUCACAGGUUUUAAUAACAAUGCAUUUCACUUUGUAUAUUACAUUAUAAAAUGUACAGUGCUAAGAAUUAUUUAUAGGUGCACUGGGAAGUUUGCCAUCUUUCAUUUCUGAGCUUCAAACGGUUUGCUUGUUCCUUAAGGUCCUUCUGGGCCUACUUGACCGUUUCAUUCUUAACAUCUGACAAAGAGCAGAGGCAAACCACAGGGGGCACAUUCCACUUGCCUGUUACCAAACCACAGGAUAUAAAAAUCUUGUUUACAAGUGAAAUUCUAGAGAUACGUGCUGAUUUUAAAAGGGAUAAUCAUUUCAUCUUCCGCUGCACGCAAGUAUGCUUGGCUAUCUCCACUUUUGGCCUGAAUGCAAAGGCUGUGCUCAGAGCCCCUUCAAUCAGUCCCAACACAGUGUAUCAUUUGAGAAAUAUGGGUUUUCACAGAGAAUCAAUAGCGAAAAUCCCCUGCUGAUGAGAUAAAGAAGGACAAAGGUGAAGUCAGGUUAGAGUUGUGUUGUUCGUUGUGGUUUAUGGCUGAGUGCGUUACAUAAAUCACAUUGGAAAUAAACCCGAUUUUCUUAUCCUGUGGCUCUUUCCAAUCAGAGAUUGUUUAAAACCUGAAAAGAUACUUUUCUUGGAGAAAUAUGCAGCUCUGUCAUGUAUGACUUUGAAGAGGGGAAGAAGGACCUGCAGGGAGUGCUAACCACCAGCACAGAAAGGAUUUUCAAUGGACGCUUUACAUACCGAUCAU